CUGCUCAUAGAGGGAAUGAGUUCCCACACCUGGUGCUUCUCAGAUCUCGCUCUGCAGGACACAGACAGGGCUGCUUCCGUGCCUUGCAGUGACACACGGAGGGCAGGAUCUGGAAGCAGUGCUGAUGCACAGCAUCCUACUAGUACAUUCUGUCUUUUGCUUGGCAGCCAAACGUGGGACUUCCUUUUGACGCCGUGUUGCCUUUCACUUACAUCGGAUUGUGAGGGCUUGUCUCACCGGGAACAAAAGAGUGAAAUGGAAUAAGGAAUAAACAAGAAGCAACACAAAGCUGUCACCGCAUUUGUUAAGAGCUGAAAGAAAAAGAGGCAAAAACCUCCUGCAGCAGAGACUUGAUAAUCACCUUCCUAAAUGAUACUGUUAUUGUAAUUGCCAAACUCUUUGUAUAGCAGCAUAUAGCUACAGUCAUUGCAGCGCUGGAAUUGUCCAUGAAGAACAUGUAGUGUAGAAAAGAAAUAAGGAUCUUUCCGUCAGUGAAAAUCUUCAUUAUCGGGAGAGGCUGGAGAAACUGAGAUCAUCUUCAAAGAGAGAGGAAAAUGCUGUAGGGGCAUUUCUACAUAUUUUCAGGUCAGCGGAAGGGAAUUGUGUUUAUACAUUUUUCUUAGCCUGAAAGAAUUUUAAACAACUAGGAGAGAAUAAGAUGAAAUGGGGAAUUCAAAUGGAAAUCUGCAAGGAUAUCAGUCUUUCCCAGAGUACCAGCAAGGCAUUGACGCAAUGUCAUCUGGAGCCAGUCUGUUACAACUGAGGCUUUUGAAACAUAAUGAACUUUGCCAUUUCAAAUUAGUACUGACAAACAAAAUAGCUGACUUAUCUCUACUCAGAAAUUACUCCAAGGAAAGAAAAUGCAGGCAAUUUAGUAGGAGACUAGAAAGAAAGUAUUUGAGAUGACAAAUUUGUUAUUGGGACAUUCUGUUUUCUGAGUUGGAGUCACAAGCGAAAGAGGAAAUACUUCAGCCCAAAGUAGGGGCCACUCCAGUUUGGGAACCUUCGUGUCACAGAGACAGGCAUGGUUUGAUCUGGGAAUUUCAAGAGAUACAGCAGAAGACCAGUACUUGGUAUCCCCUCUACUUCAAAGGCAUCAGUUCAUAUGUAUCCUUUAACUGUUCUCAAACGCAGGCAGACAACAUCCUGACCGCGUGGAGGGAUGUAAAAGUGUUCAGGAACAACCUCUUAUCCCUUUCAGUGCCUGGAGAAGUUACAGAAGAAGCCACAUCUCACUGCAAAGGAGAUAUAUCUCUUAAUGGAAAAGCUUUCUGUAUAAUGAGUACCUGCAAAAAAAACGUAAAUUCUCACACACAGCUAAUGUCAAAUGAGAAAUUCCUGUGCAGGGCUGAGCCCCAAGUGAGUAACCAACCUUCUUAGCUUGAAGCAUCAGCUGCUGGCAUUUGAAAGGUAUCCAUUGUGGCUGGCCCAUUAUUAAUGACUAUAAACAGCUGAACUUCAAACUGAUAAAUGUUAAAAGUUUAAGUGCAUAGAUUGUUGCUAAUGGCUGAGCAUUGAAAUGAAAAACUGAGUUCUUUAAAGGACUCCAUUGUAUCGUUGAUUUUGCACAGAAAAACAAAAACUUAACCAAAAGAAAACCUGUGCAAUAUUUCUGGAGUUACACUAACAUAAAGAAACAUCAGAGAUCCUACUGUGCUGACAUUUGUUGUGGGACUGACCAAAACUGGCGAUGUAGGAAGGAGACAUCCAGUACAAGCUUGCUGCCUAGACUUCUGAAGCGAACUGUAAAGUACAUACCUCUCCAGUGGCAAGCCAUCCCAGCUAGUUUAAAGAGGAAUCUCUAGCUAGAGAAGCCAUUAUUUCUCCAUUCACUAGAUGGACCCAGGCAGCUCCAAAAAGUUGAGAGAAAUUAAUUGUACCUUUAGUGAAGAACAGUUUUUUCCUUGACUAACAUAACAUAAAAGACAAUGGAGAGACACCCUAAUGCAACAGCUCCCAGAGGGAGAUGUGGUAAGAGACUGCAGGUGGUAACCUCUGGAUCCAGAAGGAUGAUGUUUAACCCUCACAUUGAGCACAGCUGCUGGCCGAGCCCCGCCGAGCCUUGUAGCCAGACAAACCCCUUCCAAGAGCACAGAUUCACUUCUCUCCUGCACAAUAAAUAUUUUCUUGCCUUAAGAAAACACUAUGCAUAUUGCUCCAGACAAAAUCUUGACUCAUUCUUAUUUGACCUAGUUGGGAUUUUGAGUUGUUUUUGACAUUUCUGCACUGCUGUACUGCCAGUCCAUACCUGGAAUAAUGUGAGAAAGAUCAGGGCUCAAAAAGGGUAACUGUAAACAUUCCUGGGGACAUUCAUUGAUAGUGAUCUAACUUUAGCACUCACUGCUCAUCUCUGGACAGGUCAGAAAGAUGUUCAUUUAACUAAAUAGUUAUCUAAAACUAGUAAUUUAUUUAAAAGUGAUUCACAUUUCUUGGACACUUUGUUGUGACCCGUCACAUAAUGCAGUCUAGAAUCUUUUAAAAUGUGUUAAUUUGGUGAAGAUUGGCUUAAGAAGAGGCAAACACCGAUCACAGCUAGUUGAUGUUAAAUUGGAAUAAAGUUGGAUUAACAAAUAAGAAGACAAAAUCCAAAUACCCCAGUGAUCUGGGGACAGAAUAUCUGCUUGGUAAAGAUUUUUGAAGUUAUUGCAGUUCUGGCAGUUGAAUAAUUAUCCAUCUGUUCCAGAAAACUUAAUUAGUAUAAGUAAACCAAAUAAAUAAGAAAAUGAAAGACUUGAGUAUCUUAACAAAAGACGAGAUGGCUAUUCAGUGUGUAGUUCAGAUAUGUGCACAGCCAUAGUGUUGUCAGUAAUAUGCUGGAGAAAGCCUAGCAGUCUAACAAAAUCUGCUGUAUGGGAUUUCCAGGUAGACUGCAAUUAAUAUCACUUAUAGGAGGCUUUAUUUCCCUCUGAAACACCAAGGAAAAAAGCUGUAGGAGCAGCCUUUGGAUUGACUGCAGGGCUCUUUGUCCAGUACAUAGUUUGUGAAUAGCUUCUGGUGAUUGUCUGAGCCUCAUCAGUGAAAGUCUUCACUGGAGGCCAUGAUCACUGGGAAGCAGCAAUCAGUUCCUAAAGCUUCUAUACCAGUUUCUUGGCACCUUGAUUGAGGACAUCAGAUGGUGCAGGGAACAGCAGGAAUUACGGCAUGCCUUUGCAUAGGAGAAGCACAGACAAAAAUAAUGUUCUCUAUGUGCUACUGCUAGAAAAUGUAACUCCCAACUUUUGUAAUUCAGCUGGUCUUUGAGCAUGGGUUGAACUGUUCUGCAGCAUUCAUGAAAUGAACAAAAAGCAUUUGAAUGCAUUUUUAACAACACAGUGCCAAACUUCCUCCUAGGAAGAGGAAGGAAUGUCAAUGCCAAACUACCUAUUAGGAAGAGGAAGGAACCUCAGAGUCUGGGAUUGGGACAUCCUCAUUUGGCAACAUCCUGUGACUUAGUUCCAGUUUAGUAAAAUUGGAAUAAUUCCCUACCCAAGGUCAGGAUCCUGUAAAAAUAAAAAUGUUCUGGGCCCUCACCUAAAAAGACAUGACAAUAUACAGCUACCAGCAGAGCUUGCAAUGUUAUUUGGUUCAUUUCCUUGUCUCAAAGUGCGAUCAGUAACACCUACAAGAUUCCUGACCACCUACCAGUGCAGAUUCCCCAGACUGCAUUGGCAGACUACUUCAGAAGUUACUUAUCCUUUCUAUUGGAAAGAUUUUACCAA